AUGAACACUAUUAUUGUUAUUUGAAGCCGUGUCAGUCUUGACUGUGGGUGGUGUGGUCCUCUGUGUCUGCUAGUGUCUAUGAUAAAGUAAUAUUGUUGUCGACAUUAUCGAACGGAAGAACUUUUAUUAUGAAGAGCACAGGUCAAUGAAGCACGCUAGCCAAUAAGAGGACCCGCCCACCGGCGGAAACCAGAUAUUGAGUGGUAAAUUCGUUUCGCUCAGUAACAGAACCAAAAAACGAAUAAACGAACUGAAAUAUUGAUUUUCGUUUUUUUGACAAAACGUAGAAACGAAUAAACGAACUGAAAUCUUGAUUUUCGUUUUCUUGUCAAAACGAAAAAACGGCUUGUUUUCUGGUUUCUGCUUGCGUCAAUUAUUCCCAGAAAACAGAGUAAUAAAACGUACCUUGCUCCCAGACGCACCUACUUGGUAAUUUCCACGGACAAUUUGGGAAACAAUAUAUUGUUUUGAAUCGCUUUCAUUUCCAUUACUCGGUCGGGACUGAUCUUUUACCUUUUACCCUUUUGCACCCCUAUUGGCGCUGGGCAGGAGCGUCGCCAGCAAUUUAAAACAUUCGGGGCUGUAGCCAAGCCUGCAUUAACUGCCAUUGGGCCCUGGGGCUGAGAGUGUUCGUGUAUUGCUCGCACAGCAAGUCCAUGCAAUGUAUUAUUUAAAAUGUGCAACAUUUUGCAGCAAAUGAUUCUAAAUCUGCCCUUAAAGAUCCCAUGCCAUGCUAUUUUUACAGUCGCACAUUGAGCUUCCCCCAAACGCGCGGUUUCGGUGGGCGUGUCAAGGAGGGGGGUGGGGGUGUGGCACUGAGCAGAGCCACGGUACCAUGCGCUCUGUUUACGGUGGAUGUAUCGCAAUGGCUCUUAGAAACCCAUAUUAUACAUAGAUAUCUAUAUCAUAUAAUAUAUAUUAUCACCUGGCCCUGAGCAGCUUGUAGCCACAGUACCAUGCGCUCUGUUUACGGUGGAUGUAUCGCAAUGGCUCUUAGAAACCCAUAUUAUACAUAGAUAUCUAUAUCAUAUAAUAUAUAAUAUAUAUUAUCACGGCCAAAAGCUGUGUGAGCCUCCAGACGAUAGGCUAUUAUGA
ensembl:lncRNA